rnacentral:lncRNA from 1 species
UGGAAACGUGCCACCCACAGGUCUUGCUCUACUCCAGAAAACCAUCACUUUGAGCUCCUUCAACCCCACCUGCGUUGGGCACUGCCCAUUCUUUGUACCCUGCGAUGGCCCCCGUGUCACACGUGGCACUUGUGAAGACUUCUUGACAUAACCGUCUUUCUUCUGAGACCUUGAGCACCCCCUGGACUGCUGGGGUUUGAUUCCUCUUGCGAAUAAAUAAAGUAGGACUUUGUGAAGAUGUUGCUCAAGCCACGUCUGAUGCUCUACGUCAAUUGAUUGUCAUUGGCCUGUUGAGAGGCCGUCUUCAGGGGACUGCUAAGGACACCACGUACAAGAGGAUAGCCACAUGGGCAAACAUGUUGCCGGUGAACAGCAGGCUUGGAUAAUUCUAGGAGGACCUUCUCUGUGUGGCAGCAGGAGAGGUCUCGAAAACUGAAAUGCAUGUUUUCGAUCCAGUGCUGAGCCAUUUCUAAACAAUUCGUGUCAAUGACUACUUCUCACGAAAUAAUACCAAGGCACCACUUGUAUGAUUCUAAGUACCAUCCAGAGGUGAAAGCACCCCAGGUCCGUGCUCCUGGGCAGUCCAGAAUUCUCCAUGACCGCCUCUGCCACUACAAUUGGAAAGCUAGAGAGCAAUGCAGGUCUUCUCUACUGGUGUCCCUGUUUGUGACUCAUGUGGCGGAGGAACAUUCUGGAAAAUGGAGCUUAGAUAAAGAUAAGAGAUGAAGAGAAGAUGUACUUUGGAAGUAGAUGAUACUGCAAUUUUUGGGAGAAUGACAAGUUGGUCUAUGUCCAGCUUUGCCUUUCUGGAACCACCUAUCCCCAACAAAAUACAGUAUUUUCCAAAAAAUGCGCCCAUUUCCCACUCACGAUGUCUUUGUCCUUCAUUCCCCUAACUGAAGGAGGAGCCUGUAUUGGCUUCCUA